AUCAUUACACAAUAACAAGGCGGGCUGGACACCCCCCGCUGGGCACUGCUUCACGGCGUGCGCGGCGGGGCCGGCCCUGCUGAAUUAUUCACCCGUGUCUUUUGCGUACUUCUUGUUUCCUGGGUGGGCUCGCCCGCCCUCAGGACCAACCACAAACCUUUUGCAAUAGCAAUCAGCGUCAGUAACAACGUAAUUAAUUACAACUUUCAACAACGGAUCUCUUGGUUCUGGCAUCGAUGAAGAACGCAGCGAAAUGCGAUACGUAGUGUGAAUUGCAGAAUUCAGUGAAUCAUCGAAUCUUUGAACGCACAUUGCGCCCUUUGGUAUUCCAAAGGGCAUGCCUGUUCGAGCGUCAUUUGUACCCUCAAGCUUUGCUUGGUGUUGGGCGUCUUUUGUCUCCAGUUCGCUGGAGACUCGCCUUAAAGUCAUUGGCAGCCGGCCUACUGGUUUCGGAGCGCAGCACAAGUCGCGCUCUUCGCCAGCCAAGGUCAGCGUCCAGCAAGCCUUUUUUUCAACCUUUGA
rnacentral:rRNA from 7 species